rnacentral:rRNA from 1 species
UUAACACGUGAGUAACCUGCCCUUGACUUUGGGAUAACUUCAGGAAACUGGGGCUAAUACCGGAUAGGAGCUCCUGCUGCAUGGUGGGGGUUGGAAAGUUUCGGCGGUUGGGGAUGGACUCGCGGCUUAUCAGCUUGUUGGUGGGGUAGUGGCUUACCAAGGCUUUGACGGGUAGCCGGCCUGAGAGGGUGACCGGCCACAUUGGGACUGAGAUACGGCCCAG